AGUGAACGCUGGCGGUAGGCCUAACACAUGCAAGUCGAACGGCAGCACAGUAAGAGCUUGCUCUUACGGGUGGCGAGUGGCGGACGGGUGAGGAAUACAUCGGAAUCUACUUUUUCGUGGGGGAUAACGUAGGGAAACUUACGCUAAUACCGCAUAUGACCUACGGGUGAAAGCAGGGGAUCUUCGGACCUUGCGCGAUUGAAUGAGCCGAUGUCGGAUUAGCUAGUUGGCGGGGUAAAGGCCCACCAAGGCGACGAUCCGUAGCUGGUCUGAGAGGAUGAUCAGCCACACUGGAACUGAGACACGGUCCAGACUCCUACGGGAGGCAGCAGUGGAGAAUAUUGGACGAUGGGCGCAAGCCUGAUCCAGCCAUACCGCGUGGGUGAAGAAGGCCUUCGGGUUGUAAAGCCCUUUUGUUGGGAAAGAAAAGCAGCAGGUUAAUACCCCGCUGUUCUGACGGUACCCGAAGAAUAAGCACCGGCUAACUUCGUG
rnacentral:rRNA from 1 species